GUUUAACAUAUGGCCAUACAUAAGAAUUUCACAUGAGAUAUUUCUUCAGUCCUGGCAAUUACGUAUAAUUACAGUAUUCUCUAUCAAAAACAAUUUCCCAUUACAGUAUUGAUAAACGUACACGUGAAUAGCACAUGUAAAAGUCAUAAAGCAUAUAUCACAAUCAGUUCAUAGAUAUGUUGUGAACAGUUGAGAGUUUAAGCCAGAUAGGAAUGAGAUGUAAUGUAUAGCAAGUGUUUCGCCAAAAACGGAGAUCCCCAAAUUGUUCUUCAAUCAGAUGACAGCUGCUUGUACUCUGCCAGCAGGCUUGGGAUGUCAUCCAUUCGUAGCUGAGAAGCAUUUUUAAUAUGAUAAAACCGAUGAGCAUAUUUCCCAGGAAAACCAGACUCCAUGGAAUGUAAAUCAGCUCCACCUUUUGCUAAAAAACGACGAGUAAUCAGUCGUUGGUAGUCACGAAGCAACGGUCCGAGCUCCUUUAGUGGUGUAGACCUGGGUAUAGACUUUCUCCAGUGAUUACGAAGUGCCUGAAUUUUCUGUUCAUUGUUAUCUCCCAUAAAUCCUGAUGCAAGUUCAAGAAGUUCUCCAUCUUCCAACUCAUCUACAAUUUGGAGCCCAGAAUUUGAUAGUGAAACUGAAACUUCUAACCUCCUUUGUAAUUCUGAGACAGCAUAUUCUUCCCUUUGGCUUUCCUGGGAAAGAGACGCUGGGUCAUUCAAAAAUUUUUUUGGGAAAAAGAUGAACUCUAAUAUUGUACAGAGUAAAAAAAUAAUAAAUUAGUAAAAAUGAAGUCCACAUAAUAGUUCAAUACCAUCCAACUGAAAAUUCUAAAGGGCACUCACCCUCGACUUCAAACUUUAAAUCAAACACAUAUUGGUUAAAAUAAUAAAUGCAAUCUCUUAACAGAACUUUUAUUGAUGUUCAGUCUUGCAUGCUUGAUCCCAUUAGAUUGAUUAGCUGUUCAGUUUGUGGCUCAUAUGUCAGAUACAGCACUGCAAUCUAAAAGCUCCAAGCAAUUUGGGGGCUGGGGGAAAUCAAAGAGGGGGUGCAGUUUAGAUAGCCUAGAUAGAUUCUAAUGAUGGGGGUUAUUGAUGUACUCAUGAGUUUUUCCUUUCCCAGCUUGUAAAAGCAAAACAAUAAUAUAUGUAAAAAUAAGCACUUGUAAUCUUCUCCUUAAUAGUGGAAAUUGCAUGCGGCUCUAUACAGGCAACUUGCCAAACCAUUUUAAAAUUUCUCGCUUAGUGUUUUUAUUUCUCUGAUCAUUAUUCUACUCUCUGUGUGUGUUGCAUGGAUAAUUUUUAAACAUUAUGCAUGCUAAAAGGUUACACAAUCAUAGUAUGAAAUGUAUAUUCCCACCAAAGAGAAUGCGUAAAGUUAAUCAAGGAACUUGAUUCUUGUACAUGCACCAUAUUUUGACAAAAUGUUUCCACGCAAAUAUGUUAGUUUCUCAAAAUAAUGACAAAUGUCAGUACUAUUAAAGUAGAGGGAGAUAGUAAUGAGCUCCCUGACCAAUUGGCUAACUAGAUAGAAUAGGCUGCGAAAGUACUGUGAAAGUUGCCUUGAUACCACCUUGAGUGCAGAUUGAACCCCAUCUUUUGCCAUGCUCAAAUGCUUAUUUUCGUGAAGACUUUUUUGAGGAGAUGCAGCCAACCACUUUGCAAUAGGGUCCCCUUGAAAUAUGCAAAAAUUGGAAACAUAUUAUAGUGCAUGUUUAUUGACUACAUGAAAAAUCUAAUUUGGCUUCCUGCAACAGAAGAAGUGGGGCAAAAUGCUUUUUUAUGCAAAUCCAAUGAAUAACUUGAUUCUCUUGAUGGUUCUUCAGUUUAAUUACAUAUUAAAAGGUUUCAGUAAAUGAGGCCUCCUGAUUUGCAGCCCAAAAUUAGAUGCACAGAAACAUACCCUUACAUUGUUGUUUCCAUGGUUUGAACCAGUGAUUUCAAGGUCACAAUGGAGCACUUCUACUGUUACACUAAGAUUCACUCCUAGGAUAACAGAGUAAUUCAAAAGAAGAAGAUACAAUUGAUUUCAAAAGGUUUAAGUAAACAGAACAUUAUCUUCUGCCAUUAGUCAACAUACUCCCUUAGUUUCUUCAUAGAGUUAAGGGUUAUGAAUAGAAUCCGGAUAACAACAUCAUAGUUUUUUUCAUCUUUCAGCACAUGAUAACAAAACACAAUUCUCGUAGAAAUGGUGAGUUAUAUUUAGAAAAAUUUGUACAUAAGAUUUGCAGAAGAACAAUCUGUGCUCAUAAGAUAAAUCAUUAACUCACGCCAGAGUAAAUCCAAAAAGGAAAAGACAGCAAUCAGAAGUAGAUGAGUACGUCACAAGGGCAGUGAAGACUUGGGAUCUCCAUCAGGAGGUCUCAAGUUUGAAUCCCACUGGGUGAAGUGCGGGGCUUUAUGAGAAGAGAAGAGAUACCCCUUGUGUGCAGCUAAUUUAGUUUUGCAAGUUUCCAAUGCAUUAAAAAAAG
rnacentral:misc_RNA from 1 species